rnacentral:lncRNA from 1 species
AAUAAUAUUAAGGUCACCACGCUAGGACAACGAGGAUGAAGAAUCCUCAACUUCCUAAGAGUGACGAGUGAUAUAACUCUUCUAUUAGAAAUUUACAGCCAGCAAAUACUUUCACUCUAAAAAAUUCACGUUGAACCCUUUUAGUGUAUCAAUUGAUGUUGUUCUUUGAAGCCUAAUCUGCUCUCUGAACUUGGCUAUAAACUCACCAGCCUUCCUAUCAACCUCAUAAGUAUCACUUCCUGCUACACUCGUAGUUCCAGACAUGGUUGCUUCAUCUGACCUUUCUCCAAAAUCUUCAUCCUCUCUCUCCGACUCGGAAUUCUCCGCAAACUCUUGAUUCCGGUUUCUGGAAUAUGUUGGGUUUGGCAUGUAAGCAUUACCUCCAAGAUUCUGCCUGUUGAACACAACCGAGGGAUUACAAUCUCCUAAUUUUGGGUCACUUCCACCUUUGUAACCCUCAACCUCUUCAAUUUCAUCACAUCCCUUUGUAUGAUUUUCCUGCUUCUCUGGCAUCCCCAGACCCAACUAUGGUAAUGCCACUGCCUCUAAAGGUUCGAACAGACUUCCCUCUUGAGGAAGCCUUGGAGGGAGCUAUAGGCUUUGCAUCCUAUGCUAUCCUUUGUUGGGAAACGCUUUGACAGAUCUCUGGAAAACAACAGGAAUCUGAUCAGACUUAACUCCGUCCUAACCACGAUAAUUGAUAUUUUGAUAGUUAUAUGCUCCCAAAACCAUUGGAAUUAUGGUCUAGAAGCAGGGGCAUUGAAGGGUCGAUGAGUAACAGGCAAUGGCAAUGCAGCCCAAGAACUAGCGGGUACCGGCCUUUGAUGCUUUGAGUUCGGGGCAGAGGAAGCAGCCAAGGAUGAGGACGAAGAAGAAGCAACGGCCACACGUUCACAAGAAGGGCACAUGGUGAGGGUUGUGGGAGGGUUGAUGUGGGUGUAUAGCUGUGGGGAGAGUUUUAAUGCUCGAAGUUCUUGCACUUCCUUCUGAAGCCUUCUGUUUUCCUCUGUUAGAUUGUCGCAACAUCUUUUUAGAUACUCACAGUCAACUUCCGUUUGCUUCAACCUUGUCCUGAACGUUUGCACCAAUGAAGAAAAACAAUGCUGAGUUUUCAUUUCCCUUCAGAAUACCCUCAACAAUUAAUUGAAGAAAUAAAACAUAACAAACUUACCUAGCUCUUCUGUUCUGGAACCAAACCUCCACUUGCCUAGGCCUCAGAUUCAAUUGCAUUGCCAGUGCCAACUUUUGCUUCUGUAUUAUAAAACACAACUCCAACAUUUCACUUCAAAUAUCAAAUUGUUAAACUACCUGACGUUUUAAAGACUAAUCGUUAACUAACCGGAUUAAGGGUGCUAUGUUCCUUGAAGGUUUCUUCAAGCACCAACGACUGUUCCUUUGAAAGCCUAAGCUUCUUCCUCGAGGCAUCGUCACCAGCACCCCCGCCAUCUUCAUCGUCACUGGAACGAGAGCAAGACGGUCUCUCAGCCUCGGUUUCAUCGCACACAGGGUCUCUCCCGUUUCUCUUCCCACCUAUGCUUGAAACGGUGCUGUUAGGCGAGGAAACCCCAUCUUCCUCGCAUUCAGCCAAGGCCGGUGCCUGGUUCACAUCAAUUCCACCAGCAACUGAUCUUGUUUCCAACUGUCCAUCUGCAUGCAUACGGUCAAUCACAAAACUGAUUUCGUUGUGUUGGUCAAAUCACAGUGAUGAAUGUAAGAGAUAUGCAAUGCAAUCCAAUGAUGGAAAGAGACGAUAAAACAUCAGAUCUCAACAUAUUAAGGAAUAGAAACAGGAAUGAAACAUGACAACCCCGUAAACUGGUGAUAGAAAAGGGGAGAAAAACAUACCAGAAGACUGAAACAGUUCAUUCCAAAUGUUCCUCUGCUGAAGAUUUUGCAUGGAAGGUAAAGCUAAAGGCAUGAGAUUUAGCUUCAACGAGGGCUGAUUCUGAGCACAUCCCAAGCUCAAACUUAACCCCAAACCGUCAUCUUUAUCACCCAUCUCUCCUUUUUUUGUCUUAAAAACUUCAACUUUCCCCAGAGCAGAACCAAUCGAAGUUCUCUGUUUUUUCCUCUUCCUUUCUGGGUUUUCUUCCUUGUGUGUUUGGUUUCUGAGAAAAAGCAAAGCGGAAGAAAAGAAAGGGUAGAAAAUGGCUUGAGCUUUAGCAGCCUUUUUGCUUUUGGUGCAGUGGGACAGGGAAAGGGUGGGACUUAUAUAUAGAGAUAAAACAGAGCUUGCAAUUGGCUCAAUCAUGACUUAUAUAGAUUCAAAUCAUAACUUAUGUCAGUGACCCUAUUGGCUCAAUCAUGAUUAUAUAACCUUUUUCUCUUGGCUGAGCUUGCAAUUGCAUGAAUUAACUUACGCAAGUUCAACACCUUUUUCUUUCUUCCAAAAACAAUUUCCAAAACCACUCACUUAGUCUCUAUACAUUUGUUUCUUGUAUAACUUUUUAAAUAAUAAAAACUCAUUAUAUUUUUAUACUAAAUUCGUGAAUAUUAAAUAUUAAUAUUCACAAAUAUGUAUCAAAAUAAGAUUUGAAAAUAAAAUUGUUACACAAUGCUUGAAAGAUUAAAACCAACUUGGGCACAAUAUUUGAGACAGAUGGGGAUAGAAAGUGAUAACACACCGUUAAUCGGUACUCUGCGAAAUGGUCUAGCAGCAGUCAUGGUUAUUGAAAUUUGAAGAUUCAUGAAUGGUGUUCUAAAGAAUGGCAGGUGAAAUUCCGACACAUUUUGAGAGACAAAAAUAAAGUUGCAGAUUGUAUCAUGAAGGAGGCAAGGGACGUUCCUGGACUUCUGCGUGUUUUCGUGGAUCCUCCGUUCUAUGUAAGGAAAAUUCUCGAAAACGAUAUACCUCUUACUGUGGAUGGUGUUCCAGAUGGAGCUUAAUUGUUUGGGAUUUCUUUAAUAUUGUACUAAAUUCAUAUUCAUAAAACUAACUAUGGUAUUAAGUUGAUCAUAUAUAUAAACAUUUUAAAUGGUAAUUAAAUUUUUAAGUUUCUAAAAUAUAUAUAAAAAUUUGUUAAAUUAUAUGAUAUUUAAUUAAUUUAAUAUAACAAUAAAAUAAAAUUUUUAAAAAUCUUGAAGUAAUUAAUAUAAAUUAUUUUUAAAAUUAAAUAUAAUAAUAAAUAAGAUUUAAAUAAUUUAAUAUGAUAAUACAUGAAAUAUUUAAAUAAUUCAAUUAAUAAUCUUCACUCUCAAACACAAGUUAAAAGGCAAAAGCACCUAAACCCUAGCUUUUGCAUUUGGGUGAAAAGUUUUUUAAUUGAUUUUUAUUUAGAUUUAAUUAACCCACCGAUAUUAAGUCGUUCGUUUAGGUCAAUUAAGGCAUAUGCCAGUAAAUUAGUUUAUUAAAUUUAAGUUGGUUAAAUUAUAAGCUCUCACCUAAACACAAAUAAGGAUAUAUGAAUUUGGAUAUUUGUGGAUAUUCGAUUAACUAUUAUGAAUUCGAAUAAUUUAAAAUUAUCAUUCCUUGUUGUAUUAGAAUAUAUAUUUAUAGACACUCUAGAUUUUUAUUAUUCAGAUAAGGGAUGUGGAUUCAAAUUCGGAUAUUUAUAUUAGUUUUUCGGAUUUAAAAAUUUCACGGAUAAUAGUAUUUUAUUUGAAUUUUUAUAAUAAUAGUCGAUGAUUUGUGAAUAAUAAACUAAUUGGUAUAUCGAUGGGCAUAUUGAUAUAUAUCAUUGGUAUAACUAUAUAGAGGUGAUCAUGGGUCGGGCUGAACCUCAAAAGAAUUUUAGACUCGUUUUUAGGCUUGGACUCGACUUGGCCCAUUUAUAUGGGCCUAAAGUUUUGACCAAGCUCGGCCUAGAUAAAAACGCUAAAACCCGAGUCCAACCCGGUCGUAUUAAAUUUUUUUAUAUUAUUAUUUUUAUAUAAAAAUUAAUCUAAAAUAUAAUACAUCAAAUACACUAAAAACAUUCAAAGAAAUGUUUCCUAACAAAUUGAAAAUAAAUUAAAAAAAUUAUUUGUACUAGCAAAAUUAAAAAACCCGAGCAAAAUAAACUAAGAAAGGUAUAACUUAACAAGCAAAUACUUUUAAAAUAAUAGUAAAAUUAAUAAUAAAACAAUAGCUAUACAAUUUUCAAUCAAUAACAACAAAAUAAUAGUAUUAUAAUAUUAAAAUGACACCAAAAUAACAACAAAAAGCAACUGUUUUUUUUUUGUCAAAUUCAGGUCGAAUCAAGCCCGAGUAAAAAAAACUUACCCACAAAUCAACCCGUUUAGAAAAUAGACCUCUCUUAUUUUGUCCAAUCACACUUUUCAAAUUUAUAUUUUUGUUCAAAAUUUCUAACUUUUCAAAUGAACACUUUCCGAAUUUAUAUUUUUGUUCAAAAUUUCCUGAGAUUGGUGGCCCAACCCAUGCAGCUCUAGCUACACUUAUCUCAUAUCCAUCCGUAAAUAAAUGAAUGUAUCAAAAGGGCGAUGCACGAAAACUCAAUAAAUUUGUCCAGCUUUUGAAUUAAUUAUCCAACACAUGUUUGUAACAAUUAUUUGAACAUGGUUUUUCAUGAACUUGCUCAAACAAAAAAGAAUAAUACUAAUAAAUCAUAUCUUCAACCAUAUAAAGAAAGACAUUAUAGAAUGACAAAUAUUAAGGUCACCACGCUAGGACUACGAGAAUGAAGAAUCCUCAACUUCCUAAGAGUGACGAGUGACGAGUGAUAUAACUCUUCUAUUAGAAAUUUACAGCCAGCAAAUACUCACUCUAAAAAAUUCACGUUGAACCCUUUUAGUGUAUCAAUUGAUGUUGUUCUUUGAAGCCUAAUCUGCUCUCUGAACUUGGCUAUAAACUCACCAGCCUUCCUAUCAACCUCAUAAGUAUCACUUCCUGCUACACUCGUAGUUCCAGACAUGGUUGCUUCAUCUGACCUUUCUCCAAAAUCUUCAUCCUCUCUCUCCGACUCGGAAUUCUCCGCAAACUCUUGAUUCCGGUUUCUGGAAUAUGUUGGGUUUGGCAUGUAAGCAUUACCUCCAAGAUUCUGCCUGUUGAACACAACCGAGGGAUUACAAUCUCCUAAUUUUGGGUCACUUCCACCUUUGUAACCCUCAACCUCUUCAAUUUCAUCACAUCCCUUUGUAUGAUUUUCCUGCUUCUCUCUGGCAUCCCCAGACCCAACUAUGGUAAUGCCACUGCCUCUAAAGGUUCGAACAGACUUCCCUCUUGAGGAAGCCUUGGAGGGAGCUAUAGGCUUUGCAUCAAAUUUCAAGGGAUACCUUGACACCCUUUCUUUGUUGGUUGAUGAACCAUCAUCCUUUUUGCUGUCACAGAAUUCCUCCCAUUCAUCCUCA